rnacentral:rRNA from 1 species
UACGUAGGGGGCAAGCGUUGUCCGGAUUUAUUGGGCGUAAAGAGCUCGUAGGUGGUUCGGUAAGUCGGAUGUGAAAUCUCCAGGCUCAACCUGGAGGGGUCAUUCGAUACUGCCGUGACUAGAGGUCGGUAGGGGAGUGUGGAAUUCCUGGUGGAGCGGUGAAAUGCGCAGAUAUCAGGAGGAACACCCGUAGCGAAGGCAGCACUCUGGGCCGAUACUGACACUGAGGAGCGAAAGCGUGGGGAGCGAACAGG